UACGUAGGGGGCAAGCGUUGUCCGGAAUCAUUGGGCGUAAAGAGCGUGUAGGCGGCCAGAUAAGUCCGCUGUGAAAUCUCGAGGCUCAACUUCGAGCUGUCGGUGGAAACUGUCUGGCUAGAGUCCGGAAGAGGAGAAUGGAAUUCCUGGUGUAGCGGUGAAAUGCGCAGAUAUCAGGAAGAACACCCGGUGGCGAAGGCGGUUCUCUGG
rnacentral:rRNA from 1 species